CUAGAAGGCAGCCUCACCCCUAAGCUAGUGACUGGAUUCUCACCAUGAUCUUUCCUCAUUAUGUCUCCAUCAUGUGGCAGAUGGCUGUGACUUUUGUCUCUUUGACACAGAACCAGCUGAGAACCUGAAGAACUGGUGCCAGGACCACUGUGUAUAACAAGGAUUUAAAACAAGCCCUGAGUUCUUAUCACCUCUCAGUGCCUAAGAUCCCUGACCACCCAAGUCAGAAGAGCACAGCCCUGUCCAGUCCUACAUACCUGGAAUUUGGCCAACAAAGCACACUGGUGAUUCCUUCCUUCAUCCGAAUAAAAUUUUUUUUUUGCCGGUUAAUGCAAAGACCCUCCUUCAAGAUCUCUCUCAAAUGUGUGUGGAGCAGGCAUGGAAGGAUCCGAACAGCAGGGUGAACUGGUGGUACAUUUUCAAGUGCCAACCGUGAAGAAGAGGUGUCGUAUUAUUUACCUUUAGAUUGCUCUAGGACAGGAGGAGGCGGGGCUUGGUAGCGGAGCUCUUGCCUAGUGUGC
rnacentral:lncRNA from 1 species